ACUUAUGAUGACAGAUACAGUGGGUGGAGCCUGUGGAGAUCUGAAAAGAGGAACUCAACUUUUGCUUCGUGCACUGCAAACAUGCCCAUCCUUUGUGUUCUGCUUCUGCUAUUGUUGAUUAAAAAGGAGACGUUUGCACAGUCAAUCACACCGCGGGAACCCAAGGCACUUAAAUCUGAGGGAGAAAAAGUCACUCUGUCCUGUAAAUAUGAUGGAGCUGUUACAAACCUGCACUGGUAUCGUCAGUAUUCGGGAUCCAAACCAGAGUUCCUUGCAUAUAUUUAUCAAAAUGGAGACACAAGUAAACCUCUUCCUGAUCGUAUCAUACCUAAAGUUGAUAAAAACAACAAUCUUGUGAGCCUGGAGAUCUCUGAUGCUGAAGUAACAGAUUCUGCGCUGUACUUCUGUGCACUGACGCCCACAAUGACAGGAAACUCAACUACACUGUACAAAAACCUCCUGAACAAUAAAACUCAUAAACUAUUUCAAUGUUUCAGAAAUAUCUUUCAGAGAAUUGCACAGAGCAGUUCAGAGUUAACCCUAACCCAAACUCAACCCAAUGUCUAA